rnacentral:rRNA from 1 species
CACCGCGGUUAUACGAGGGGCUCAAAUUGAUAUUUCAUCGGCGUAAAGCGUGAUUAAAAAAUAAACAAACUAAAGCCAAACACUUCCCAAGCUGUCAUACGCUACCGGAUAAAACGAAGCCCCACCACGAAAGUGGCUUUAACACCUUUGAACUCACGACAGUUGAGAAA